UACGAAGGGGGCGAGCGUUGUUCGGAAUUACUGGGCGUAAAGGGCGCGCAGGCGGCUCAUCAAGUCAGAUGUGAAAGCCCCGGGCUCAACCUGGGAACUGCAUUCGAUACGGGCAAACUAGAGUAUGGCAGGGGAGACUGGAAUUCCUGGUGUAGCGGUGAAAUGCGCAGAUAUCAGGAGGAACACCGGUGGCGAAGGCGGGUCUCUGGGCCAAAACUGACGCUGAGGAGCGAAAGCGUGGGGAGCGAACAGG
rnacentral:rRNA from 1 species